AAAUUGAAGAGUUUGAUCAUGGCUCAGAUUGAACGCUGGCGGCAGGCCUAACACAUGCAAGUCGAACGAUAACAGGAAACAGCUUGCUGUUUCGCUGACGAGUGGCGGACGGGUGAGUAAUGUCUGGGAAACUGCCUGAUGGAGGGGGAUAACUACUGGAAACGGUAGCUAAUACCGCAUAACGUCGCAAGACCAAAGAGGGGGACCUUAGGGCCUCUUGCCAUCGGAUGUGCCCAGAUGGGAUUAGCUAGUAGGUGGGGUAA
rnacentral:rRNA from 1 species